rnacentral:rRNA from 1 species
CCUACGGGAGGCAGCAGUGGGGAAUCUUGCGCAAUGGGCGAAAGCCUGACGCAGCCAUGCCGCGUGAAUGAUGAAGGUCUUAGGAUUGUAAAAUUCUUUCAGUAGGGACGAUAAUGACGGUACCUACAGAAGAAGCCCCGGCUAACUUCGUGCCAGCAGCCGCGGUAAUACGAAGGGGGCUAGCGUUGCUCGGAAUUACUGGGCGUAAAGGGAGCGUAGGCGGGUUAUCAAGUUGGAGGUGAAAGCCCAGGGCUCAACCUUGGAAUAGCCUUCAAAACUGAUAACCUAGAGGAUGGAAGAGGUAAGUGGAACUCCGAGUGUAGAGGUGAAAUUCGUAGAUAUUCGGAAGAACACCAGUGGCGAAGGCGACUUACUGGUCCAUUACUGACGCUGAGGCUCGAAAGCGUGGGGAGCAAACAGGAUUAGAUACCCUGGUAGUCCACGCUGUAAACGAUGAUUGCUAGUUGUCGGCAGCAUGCUCGUCGGUGACGCAGCUACGCAUAGUACAUCCGCCGUCGGGAGGUACGGUCGCGAGAGUAAACGUACGAAGUAAGUAGUACGCGUUGUAGAGUUGCGACGGACGACGACGAGGGAGGAGG